ensembl:lncRNA
AGAAAGGCCUGCAGGCUCACUUGUUAGAGACAGUGGAGAGGGGAGGAUAUUCUCUUGCUUCUUCACACUACUUGAGGACUCAAGGAAGACAACAGGAAAUGCCACAAAAGUAUUUGCAGGCACAGGGUUCACUCUUGCCUUCAACACCUCUGGCCACUUUUCUGAAAGGGGGAAAAAAUUGACCAAAGCCAGCCAAGCAAAAGACCACACAGACCAGUUUUUUCAGGUUGAUAAUGAUUCUGCUCAAAAGAACUAGAUAGAGCCCUGGAGAGAGGCAUGGAAUUGAGAAUUCAUCUGCUCUAAAGACCCAGAUGGAGCCCAAGAGAUUGGUAUGAUUCAGGGUACAGACUGUGGUUGAGCAGAUGAACACGUGGGUGCCUUCUCUGCAGGAAAGGGAACCCUUGGUUGUCCUUGCUUUUCUGUCUACAUAUACAAGUUUUGCAACACCCCUACAGUUAUUGGACCUGCUGUUUGUGAGGAAAUGGGAAGUGGCAUGGGAGCCUUUAAGGAAUGUUCUGUUGAAGAAGGGACAGUGAUGGAACCACCCUCCUCAAAAUGAC